CUCUUCCUAGUGUGGACCAGUUCUGCUUACCAGCCUUGUCGUCGAGGGGCGGUGCCCCACGGCGCAGGCCGGAAAUUGUAGGCGCCGGGUCCGUUGCGCCAUGCUGGAGAGUCCGCGCGUGUGAUGUCUGCAGGUCUUGUUGGAUUCCUGGCGCUGUUCCCUGAAGACUCUCUUACCUACUCUUUCCGGCUCUUGGCGGCUUUUGUCUCUUCUCUCACAGGAGAAUUCUGCUGGCUAAUAGUGCUUCAGGCAAAAAAUAAAACCUUGCCAGAAAACUAGACACUUACAGUAGAGCCUCACACACUCCCCCCGCCUUCCGGUCCAAAAGCCAUAGCCUUCCUGACUUCUCACCCUGUGUACUGGCGGUGUCUAUCUAAUUAUAUACCAGAAGCAAACACCAAGACGGGAUUACACGUGCAAGUACUUUAUUGGGGAAAUGCCUGUGUGGGAACAUCUCAAGGAAACCAGAGGAGGCAGGGAGUUGUCAGACCUUGAUGAAGGUCUAUAAUCUGCUUUGGGUGUCCGAUGUGAGUGAGCACACAAUUUAUAAGGAAAACUCCCGACAGAUAAAAUUUCCAAGAUAUGUGGAAAACCGCCAAGGUAGAGGAGAUUGGAAACCAGGAUGGGAAUAAAGGGAUCCAGAGCGUCAAAUCCUUCCUGGAGAAGAAAAAGGACACAGUAUUUGUUAAGGACACAGUAUUUGCUAAAUGUUUAUUUAAACAUUUUAAGGGUAAGUUCUUUGCUUUUGUUCUAUUCUAUUCCCCCUGCUCCAGGGCUGGCUACUUUUGCUCUGUGUGGCCACAAAUACUAUAUUUAAAGAAGAGAUAAUGUUUGGGGGGGGGUGGAGGGUGUCACUUAUCUGAGUGGGUAUAUACAUAACAUAUUUAAAUUUUUUUACAUUUCUGACUUUAACUGCUAACAACUGUUUGAUAGUUCAAAUACUCAAAAACAGAAAAUAAACAAAAUGGAAGAAGACGCUAAAUAGAAUAUAAACUGAAACAAAUGAAUCAAACAGAACACAGAAGGGAGGAGGAAGACUAACCCAAACCAGCUUCUGAACAGAGUAUUUGAGCUAAAGGUCCCUUAAGGCAAAAGACAAAAAUCUGCCCUAAAAGAAGAUAUUAAGUCUAAAUAAAACACAAGUAAAAAAAAUUUCUUUUGAGCUCUGGUUUGCAGCUUAUUUUUAUAGCCAAGGGGUAGCAGUUCUGAAACUACUUUUACUGUGAUCUGAGAUUGAGCUAAAGGGUAAAUAGUGUGAAUUAGAACAGAUUUCUUAUUGUUGGAGAUGAGGGUUACAGGUAUGGAAAGCUGUGGGGUAGGGGGCUAGCCUGGAAUGGAAAGAAUCAAACUCAGAGAAACAGAGAUGUGUGUGGACUUGUAUAUAUAUAAACAAAUAUCUGCAUGUUGUGUGUACAGGAAUGGUACACAGAUCUGUUUACUAACUGUGCUGGAGGGCCUAGAAGAGAUGACAGACACACCCCAGCAGCACUCAGGUCUUGGUUUCUAAUACCAUUCUCCUCUAAAAUGAACCAAAACUCCUUGGAGAAAUGGCUGAUUCUAGGGCCAGGUAUGGAAAGUACAAGAUAAGCCUGGAACAUGUUCUUGUGCCAAAAGUAAAAUGCUUCAAUAAUGGGGACAGUGGAGGGAGGGUAGGGGGGAAAUGAUGGGGACAUGUUCAAAGAAGCCACUUUGAAGGGCUCCUGUUGGCGAAACUAGGAUAAUUUAGGCACCAGAAUAAAUAAUGAUAGUAAAAGUUUAGAGCUCAAUAAACAAGAAUCCACAUGUCCAUGUUGAAACAAAUAAAUACAAGAAAGGAAAAUCCUUACAUUUAAGAGAAAGCUAACUGAUAUAUUUAGAAGAAAUGAUAGCUAGAAAAUAUUGUGCAAUUAUCAUAACUGAUUUAGGGGAGAAUGAGCAAUGGAAACUAAAACUAGUAAGGGAAAGUUUGAGGAGUAAAAGGAUAUUUACCUAGUCUCAACGGUACCUCCACAAGAUACUUAUUUAUUACAGAGGAAAAGAGUAAUUUUACUGAGGAGAAAUCAGGUAGAUGGCACCUUAACUAAGCAUUCGAAGCUUAUACUGCCAGUAAUAGAAGUGUCACGAGCUUCCUGGUAUUAUACACUGAGAAGACCCAAUAUAAUCUCUAGCAUCACAUUUACUCAGGAAAAAACAUCAGAUAAUUAGCAUGCACUCUUCAAAAACAGAGAUAUAGAUAUUAAAGUUAUAAGAGACAAAGACUGAGGAACUGGCCCCUAUCGAUUAGAGGAGACUGACAAGAUACAACAAUUGAGUGCAGUGCAUUGUCCAGGACUUCCUUUGCCUGUAAAGGUACUGGGAUAACCAGGCAAAAUCAGAAUAAAUUCUAUAGAUAGGUAACAGUAUUAGAUCAGUGUUAAUUUUCUGAUUUUUAUAACUAUGCUGAGGUUAUACAUUAGAAUAGCUUUAAUUUUGGAAAAUAUGCAUUAUUUAGAGAUAAAAGAAGACAUCAUGUUUUGGGUCACUAUCACAUAAUUCAGAAAAAAAAAAGUUGGAGAGAGAAUAAAGCAAAUAUGGUAAAGUGUUAACAUAUAAAACAUCUAGGUGAAGUCAGAGUAAUACAGUUUUUCUCCAAGUUUGAAAUCAUGUCCUACCCCCUCCAAAUUUUGUAUAUAUCUUAGACAGAAUGACUAUCUAAGGGCAAACAAAUUUUCCAGUGAUUUGACCUUUCCCAGCAACUCCUGGGGCAGAUAAGCAUUCCGUGGCUUAAAGAGAGAACCAGUCUGGCUCACAGUCAACACAAUGGCACCUCCUUGCUGAAAGAAAGGAGAAAAGGCUAAAUUUAAAAAAAGGCUGAAAAAGAUAAAAAAAUGCAUUUUAAUCACCUGCAGUUUUUGUUCUUGUUGCUAUGCAGUGGUAAGGCAGUAUGAUCUAACAUAGUUAAAUGGCAACUAAAUUGGUUAUUAAUUCUAGAUUUGGCUCUGACAAUAAAUUGCUUGCUACAUCUUCGAUCUUAGAUUUAUCCAAAUCCUUUCCAAAGCUGCUAAAAAUAACACCUUGAACAAUGGCAGGAAAGUAAAAUUAUUCCAUAUUUAAAUAAAAUGGUUUUGAAUAAGUGUACUCCAGUGAAGCAGAAAGAUAGGAAACCAAUACAGAGAUUCAAAACUUGGUACAGUUAUGGUAAUGAAAUAAGAUAUAUAAGAAUUUCUGUCCAUAAAAUUAGAGACUGGUUAGUAUUAGGGAUGAAGCAGUUGAACAUCUUUAAAACAAAAAUAUAUUUCUUUCUGAAAUGUGUUAGGCAUCACAUGCACUCACCCAGUCAUUUUUCACCAUUUUCCUCAGGUUGUGAAUAAGCGCUAGCUCUUCUGGGGCAAUCUGCACAUUGGUUGGUGUGUGUGAGAGAGAGGUAGAGAGGGCGGGGCCGGAGGAGAGAAGAGAACAUUACUUCCUUUGCGAUGCGAGAUAUCUGAAUUGACAACUAAAAAAUUCUCAACCACUACGUGACCAGAGUCCCUGAAGGCCUUGUAAGAGAACUCAGCAGGGAAGUGAAUACUUUCUAGCCCAUUUCUGGCCUGGAGCUUAAAAACAAACAAAAGAAGGAGCUCCCAUCAUGGCUCAGUGGAAACUA